UCAUUAGCGAGUUUUCAACUCCCAACCCUUGCGAACCGUACCCCGUUCUGUUCUCGUUGCUUCUGGCGGGAGGGGGAGGGGGGCCGCCCUUCGGGGCGCGCCUCUCGCCCCCCCCUGGGUCCCCUCGGGGCGCCCGCCAGCGGCCGCGAGCCGCCUGAACUUUUUUAUAAACGUAACCGACACGUCUGAGAAACAAACAAAAACAGCCAAAACUUUCAACAACGGAUCUCUUGGCUCUGGCAUCGAUGAAGAACGCAGCGAAAUGCGAUACGUAAUGCGAAUUGCAGAAUUCAGCGAGUCAUCGAAUCUUUGAACGCACAUUGCGCCCGCCAGCAUUCUGGCGGGCAUGCCUGUCCGAGCGUCAUUUCCCCCCUCAGCGCGCCCUUCGGGGAGCGCUGGCGUUGGGGCUCCUCCGCCCUCUGCGGCGGCAGGGCCCUCAAAUCCAGUGGCGGGCCCGGCUGGUUGGCUCCGAGCGCAGUACCGAACGCAAGUUCUCUCUCUCGCUCUGCAGCCCCGGCCGGCGCCCUGCCGUCAAGCCGCGCAGGUGGCCCAGCUCUGCUGGCCGCCUCGCAUCUUUUACAAGGUUGA
rnacentral:rRNA from 1 species